rnacentral:snoRNA from 12 species
AGACGAACAUGAUGAAAGCAAAAAUUAAAAAGAAUGCGUGAUCAUCAAACAUUAUGUGUUUGAUAUGAUCGAACUUGUCAUGCUACGUUCUUUCUGAUUCGUCU